CCUACAUGAAGUCGGAAUUGCUAGUAAUCGCGGAUCAGCAUGCCGCGGUGAAUACGUUCCCGGGCCUUGUACACACCGCCCGUCACACCAUGGGAGUCGGUAACACCCGAAGCCUGUAGUCUAACCGCAAGGGGACGCAGUCGAAGGUGGGAUUGAUGACUGGGGUGAAGUCGUAACAAGGUAGC
rnacentral:rRNA from 1 species